GGCUGAGGGUCCACAGUCACUACCCAGGAAUUUACUGGCGAGCACCCAAGAAAUCACCUCCAAGGGUUCGGCCUGAGAGGGGCGUAGUCCCUUUGGGUAGUCCUGAUCACACUGAGUCAGCAGUGAGAGUACUUUAAAAAUCUCCUCUUCACAGGACUCCAGUGGGGAAACUACAGCAAUGGUUUGGCCAGCUUGGCCUGGUGUGUCAAACCAAGGUGGAUGGCAGAGAGCCCAGAAGCAGCCUCGGCUAUUGUGCAGGAUAGUUCUUUCUCCAAAAUGGAAGGAAACUGAGCCAUGCAAUUGAAUUAUCCUCAACUUUCCCUCUUCAGUUGCAAAGCAUCCUGUAGAUUUUCUGCCUAGAGUGGAAUUGCAAGAAAGUUCUGUAUGCGUUUGACACAGGUUUUGAAAGAUACAGAUGAAAGUCUUACACAGGAAGUAAGAUCCUAUAUUAAAACAAGACUGCAAUAUUGUUUGCCUGUAAAGAAACAAAGGUUACAUGUUUCAAAAGUUUGCACAGUUUUCUGGCAUACAACAUCUGUCAAAGCCUACAAACAAUCAAGGUAACCCCAAAACAAAGUAAGCUGGAAGGAGACAGUGGAUCUACUAUGGUAUUGGAAAAGGAAUCUGACCGGGGGAUCUCAUUGAUCCUGGAAAGGUGUGUUGUGCACUGUGUGUUAAUAAAGUGUUGCAUAACCGUGGUUGGUGAUUGGUCCAUGGAGGAGUAGCGACACCAUGAAGCAAAUUAAAUACCAAAAUGAACAAAAAUAUUUCAUCUGCCAGUUAGUAAAAACCUCUUUG